GUCUACGGCCAUACCACGUUGAAAGCACCGGUUCUCGUCCGAUUAUCGAAGUUAAGCAACGUCGGGCCCGGUUAGUACAUGGAUGGGUGACCGCCUGCGAACACCGGUUGCUGUAGAAU
rnacentral:rRNA from 1 species